CCGGACCGGCACGGUAGGGAGUAACGGUACGGUACGUAGUCGAACCUACGUCCCGGUUUCCGUUAGACGGGACGGUAACUACGGAGAAAUCCGGCCUAAUACCGCAUGUGGCCGAGGGAGGCAUCUUCUUUCGGCCAAAGGAGGCAACUCCGGAGACGGAUGGGCAUGCGUGACAUUAGCUUGUUGGCGGGGUAACGGCCCACCAAGGCGACGAUGUCUAGGGGUUCUGAGAGGAAGGUCCCCCACACUGGUACUGAGACACGGACCAGACUCCUACGGAAGGCAGCAG
rnacentral:rRNA from 1 species